ACGUGAGAGAGUCUGAUGGCGACCAGGGGGACUGGAAAAGCUAAAAGGCCUACUUCUCUAGUGAACAAGCAACUAGCUCUGCAAGGCAUUGAAGGAGCAGCAGGCUUCGAGGGCCCCUUUAAGGAAAGGAAAAGUGAGAACAGAAGGUGAGCUUUCUUCUUCUGGGAAGAGCUUCCUGCCCUGUAACUGCUCCAGGCAUUCAGAGCCAUGGCCUGAGGAAAAGAGGGAGAGAGGUCAGUGAGGGCAGUGGUGCCAGAUAACACUCGUGACCCUUCCAGAAAGCACGGACACACAUUCUACAGGUCGUGUGAGUCUCUAGGAAGAGGACCUGAAGGAAAUUCAAACUAAGACCGGGUCCUCCAUCUGUGAGGUAACACCCCGGUGGCUAGGGAACGAUGGCCAUCGGGAUGGUCACCCCACGAAGAUGACUGGGUGUUGAGGCUGGGAGUGGGGCCCCCAGGACCCUCCCUCCACAGAGGUUCCGGCUCCUGCAGGCGGCCUGGACGGUCCAGAUGUGGGGCCCCGAUACACUCCGUGAGCACGCAGACCAAGAAAAAGGCUCCCCAAAAUGAAUCCAGCUCCCCCUAGAGACCAAUAAGGACCUCAUUUCCUCCUGAGCCUCUGGCCAUGGAAUCACAGAAGGGAAUCGUGAAUGAGGGAUCCAUUGUGGAAUAUGAAGCACAGAAUUAAUCAGAAAACACAGACACAGUUUUGGACAAAGACGCUGCCUCCUUGGGAAAAUUUUUAAAUAGCAUGCAUGAAAAAAAUAAAAAAUCCAGCAGCAAUUCUCUCCCUAUAACAGGAACAACACAGGGAAUGAAAACACAAGCUAAAACGAAAAACAGGACUGGCUACACAAUUUGCGGGUUUAUAUAAUAUAAUUUAUAUUUUUAAUUCGUCAUAUCAUUCUGACACAGCAAAGGCCCGGUGUCUGGGACUGCGUGAUGUGACAGUCCUUUGACUCUCUAAUCCAGGACGAGCUGCAUAAUUUGCUGACCCCAGUGCAGAAUGAGAAUGUGGAGUCCCUUGUUCAAAAAUUAUUAAGAAUUUCAAGAGGGCUACGGCAGAGCAUUAAACCAAGGGCAGGCCCUUCUGAGUCUGGGAUCCUGUGUGGCUGCACAGCUCACACACCAUGGAUACAGCCCCGCGAAGAAAGCUAAUGCUUCAGCAUCCAUGUAGUAACAGCCCACAAGAGACAACUGUGAACAGCUCAGCCAAGGAGCCACCUAGCAUAAUUCCAGCUUCUCACUCUUUACUCUUCAAAGUUCACUCUUUCUCCUCCAAACUUUGGACUUCAGAAAGUCUGCUUUAGCAUCGCAGAAGUACUGUAUCUAAAAUGGGCAGUUUCUCCAGGCAGACAAAGCCAUUUCUUCUUGACUCUUCUCCAAACUUUCAUCUAUUCUAGUCCUGGCAAGCUUGGCUGCGCUGUUCAUUGGGCCUUUUCCUGCGCUCGAGUCAAGUCAUUAUCCUCUUUUUAUAUACUGCACUUCGUGCCCUUGUGAACCUGUUGAAAAUAGUGAAAGAGAGUUGAAAAGUACCACUGGCUCCUAAAAAUAGUGCUGACUAGGAGGCAGAAAGGGGGAACUCCGGUUUUAUUCAGUACUAAAGAUAACACCACCAGAAUGAUAGACUCCUUCGAAUUGUUUGUCCCCACUGGCCAUUGUCCCGUGGGCACUGAAUGAGCCUCUUAGCAGCUCUUGAGGGCCUGUCACAGGUAGGCACCCAACAGAGAUAAUUCCCAGCCUAUGCUUGACUGCCCCUUUAUAGACACUCACUCAUGCUUCUGAAAGGCCUCAGACACUGUUGAAUAAACUCCUACUCGCUUCCAUAAACUUUUUCUCCCACUGAAUUUUCCGGGGAUGUGAGCAGCUUCCCAGCCUCGCCAGAGGAUGCCUCUGAAUGCACUCCUGUUCUGAAUCAAAGCUUGACAGACAAGCCUCUUUCCAAAACAAGAGAAAAAACAGGGCCCAAGGUCCCCAGGAGGAAUCUCUGCGCUUUCUUCCGCAGGUGAAGGCGGACUCAGAGGCCCUGGCCUUCCUCCUGCUCUUCUUGUGGGUUUAUUGAUCUGGGGUGCAGGAGACUUUUUUUUCCUGUGAAGGAAAAAAGCCUCUGUUUGCUGCCUGAGCCGUGUCUCUUUUGGUUUUGUAAAAGAAGGGCGUCCCUACAGGGCAAAGAGACUCCAGGGACGUGAUUGUCUUCAGAACGUCCUAGAAGAGCAUGGGCGUUAGAGCUGCACCAAGCUGGAGUUGAAUCUAAGCUCUUCUGCUUGCUAACUCACGGGGGUUUGAGCGAGUGCCCUGCAUCUCUGAGCCACAGUCUUCUCGCCUAUAAAAUAGGGCUAAUGAUACCCGACCUCACAGGCUCUUUUCUUUCAAAGGUUAGAAUAGACCAUGUAUGUAAAGCAUUUAGCAUGGGGCCCAGUAGGAGACAGAGUUCAAUAAAAGGUAGAUUUUAUUACUAUACUAUUA